GACGAACGCUGGCGGCGUGCUUAACACAUGCAAGUCGAACGGAAAGGCCCUGCUUUUGUGGGGUGCUCGAGUGGCGAACGGGUGAGUAACACGUGAGUAACCUGCCCUUGACUUUGGGAUAACUUCAGGAAACUGGGGCUAAUACCGGAUAGGAGCUCCUGCUGCAUGGUGGGGGUUGGAAAGUUUCGGCGGUUGGGGAUGGACUCGCGGCUUAUCAGCUUGUUGGUGGGGUAGUGGCUUACCAAGGCUUUGACGGGUAGCCGGCCUGAGAGGGUGACCGGCCACAUUGGGACUGGGAUACGGCCCAGACUCCUACGGGAGGCAGAAGUGGGGAAUAUGGCACAAUGGGCGGAAGCCUGAUGCAGCAACGCCGCGGGCGGGAUGACGGCCUUCGGGUUGUAAACCGCUUUCGCCUGUGACGAAGCGUGAGUGACGGUAAUGGGUAAAGAAGCACCGGCUAACUACGUG
rnacentral:rRNA from 1 species